UUCGGAUAAUGAUGAAUAACAUGAGUAGGCAAUACCAUGACUAUUUCAAUUUCCAAGCCAUGAGCACUUAUGACUCUUUGAUUGAAGCAGCCACUCGUAUUGAAGAUGCUAUCUACAAUGGGACUCAUGGAUCAUAGGUCAAAGAGGUAGAUCCAAAAGGAAAGAAGAUAGCCCUGGGGGGAACAAGCAAGAAUAGUGAAGUGAAUAUCUUGUCUGACGGAAAACCAAAGACACUCAGAACUUUCACUCCGUUUGGCAUAACUCUUAGUUGCGCCUUGGAAAAUAAGCUUAAGAAGCAUGGUGUACUGACGCCUUUUCCCCCAUCUCUGCCACUAGAUCCUCUUCCUCCUAGGUACAAAGUCAAUGCCUACUGCAAGUACCAUCAGACAAAAGGCCAAAAGUGUUUAAGGCUUAAACAUGACAUCCAAGACCUUAUUGAUUCAGGGAAAAUUGAGCCACCAAGGGCAAACCGUCCUAAUGUCACUACUAAUCCCCUACCAACUCAUUCUGUACUUCCUCCUUCCAAUAUAAACAUGAUCGAGCCAACAUUGUCGAGUUGGUAGUCUCUGACUCCCUCCUUAUUACGCCAGCUGGAGAAAAGGGAGAAACCGAUGGUAGAGACAUGACCGGAAUCCGAGAGACUGACGAGAUUGAACCCCCACCUCAAGUUCAUAUGCUCUGGUGGGAUGAUUUCAACGAUCAAUUCCCAACCCCUCCUAUUACUCCCUAAAAGCCCAGCAAGUGAUGAAUCCUUUACCCUUGCUCAUAUUCUGGAAAAUCUUCCGAUGUCGUAUAGGUAAACCAUUUAGGGAGAAUGGGUUUUUUGGUCUUUCUCACGUGUUUUUUUUGCUCAUCAAAUGUUUACCUAUCUUCCGCGGAGAAUGGUCAAUCGGUUUUCUUCUUUCAAAGAACUUUGUAAAUGAAUGAUCCAGAGAAAAGACAGAGAGAUAUUGACUUUUUUCACAUCUGUAACUACAUUCUAUUCUCAUAUUAUUUAUUUAUUUAUCUUUUUAUGCGAUUGGAAAAUGAAUGAGAUCAGAAAGAUAGGCGGACAACUUGACGAUAAGGUCGGAUGUUUCUAUGAGCAGUAAGGAACGAAUCUCCCCUUUUUUUGGGGGAAGCUGGUGGUCCUUUUGGCGUGUUAAUUCUUUUGACGGGGCAGCCUUCUUCAUUUGGUAGAUCUGGUCGAGGUGGUUUCCGUUUACCAGCGUGUAGGUGGUUUAAGUUCCUAUGACCGAGUCUUUCUGGCCCCUGUGAACAUAUUUUCUUAAUUUAUUAAAGAGGGCCUCUCUAACCGGUGAAAAGUGGUAGGUGUCCACUAUGGCUAUUCCUGGCUCGGCUCCAAUAACGCAAUUCCAGGAGGAGUCGGUAGUUGGGCACUGGAUCCCUUCGGACCUGGAGAACAUGAGACACUGCGUCGGGGUUUGGUGAACCAACAAGUCGCUCCUUUAGUUGAAGUAUUGGGCCCCUUUUUCAUUGCCUAGGUUACACCUUCGGAAUACCCCAGACGGGGAUUUCACUCUAUUCCCUCCAAUCUUCACUUUACGCCAUGCCGACUCUCCGUCGCGGAAUUAGACCAAGGGUCGAAGACCCAUACCAUAGGACCCCAUCUCCCGUAUCUUAUCUUUCGCACGUAGGAGAUCGAGACACAGCCUUAGGGCUAUGGGGAAAGUAGAUCGAUUGCCCAAGAAUUACAACUACAUAGAGGGUCUCUACAAGUCUAUAAAGAAGUUUCCAGAAAUUGAUCGGUACUAGUCCGGUCGCACCCGAACAAUAAUAUUCCAGAGAGAAAUGCACCUAAGAUCAAAUAUUUUGAGCUGGCUUCCAUGGAAAAUUCAGAAUUUCUUUUUGAUGCUGCGAUCACAUAAAAACAUAAACUUUGAAGCUCAAUAGCUAAAUACAUGGCAAUUAAAUCAUGAGCUGGGAUCAUUAAGAGCAUACUACGAGUAGGAAGUGGAAUUAAUACAAUGAAUUCAAAAGCAUCAAACCUCUCUUUUUUGAAAGAAUCGAAACACAUUGAAAUGGUACCAGCCGUACUUAGUAAUAGAAGGAUUUGGCAAAAAUAUGUAAAAUUGUCCCUCCUAAAAAAUGGUUCCAGAAUAAAUGGGCAAUAGUUAGGAGAGGUGUGCCAGCGGCGAGCAGAAGCAAGGUUACUAGAUACCGAAGGAAAGCCCGCCCAGAACCACACGUUCAAGUUUCCCUGCAUGUGGCUCGUCCGUGAUAACUUCUUCGGAUUUGCGUGAACUAGUGGACCGAUCACUAAGUGGUCAGUACCUCCAGCAUGAGUGAACCUUUUCUGAACUGGUUAGGAAUGGGCGCCACUAUCCCAGCCCCGCAUCCAGCCGGGUUCUAUUGAUCAUGCCCCCUACCCAACAGUUGUACCUUGUCAUGGGGCAUCUUUCUUUGGCUUUACUAUCAAGCCUGCCGGAAAAAUCAAAGUCUUUCUCUUCCCGUCCAAGGUCAUGGUGAGGUGAAGGUGCGUCCAUACAAGAGGAAAUCGCAAUGCAUCUUGCUCAGCAGGCGUAGCUUGGAGUGGGAGUGUUGCGGGAGUAAGGUAAGGAAAGUGGCCUAAGGGAGGAAGCCAAACAAACCAACCUGGACCUUUUGAGUGCUGCUAAGCUAAUAUGUGUCAGAGAAAGAAAAGGAGGUAACUAUUCAGUUCGGAGCAUUGAUUCCCCAUAACGAAUAGGCUAACUCUAUCUCUCAAUUGCCUAUCCUGUGCUCGAGAAGGUCCCGUAGUUUCUCGGCAGCACCUUGAAGUGCAUUUAGUUGUAUAACUUUAGACUGGGCAUAUUCCCCACUCCAUGGCAUCUUUCGCUCAUCCAUUCAGCCCGCCCACCCAGACGUGGUGCCCUUUCACAUUAUCAUCUACCGCCCUUUCUUUUCUCCCAUCCCUUCAGCAUGAAGAUCGUCGUAUGUAUGUUCGACUUUGGUUGCCAGUGCAAUAGAAUUGGCGGGAGUAUAUUAUGAUCAGUCACCUGGGCAAACCAACCCUCCUCCAAGAAGAAUUGUGCUAUGCCCCACCCCCCGCCCCCCAAUAUCCCUAUAGAGUGAAAGAGCUGCCUGGUGAUCCCUAGGUUGCAGCACGUCCGGUCGUUAACUCCUCGCUAGCUGCCGCUGUUUCUAGGACCGACCGACGCCUCACCUGCAUGCACAGGUACCUACGUAGUGUAGUGUCGGUCUCACAUUCAUAAUAGCAUUCGGACUCAUGUGCCUUUCUGAACCAGGGGAGUUCCCUUGCUCCUGCUGCGUACAAUUAGCCAGCCUUGCAGCAGCAAAAGGAUUAGGGUGUUCCCCAUGCUAAGGUUCCCUUCGGUCCGGCCGCAUUAGGUUAGGGAGCUGGGCGAUAAUAGCUCCUCUGCAUCCCAAGCACGCUGCCCUCCUAGGUGCGCAACAAUAAGUAAUCCAAGCCAACCCACAUUACUAACUAACGGUGGAUAAUCAUCUUUCUUAGAGGUACUAAAUACAAUUCCAUGAAUGAGCAAAAUGAAGGUUGCGUUAAUGAGAAAGAUCUCUGGGGAAACCACUAAAAAAAGAUUGAACAUGUUCUGAGUUUCGAUAACUUCU
rnacentral:lncRNA from 1 species